UGAUUACAAAACAGAAACAAGAAGGCUAUUUUCUUUCGGAGUUUAUAAUGCAACAGUAACUCAAAACAGUUCAAUGUUAAAGAAUAAUAUCGAAAGAGAAUGAGGGAACCCCGUUGUGUCCAGCGAAUCGUUCAUAGCGAAAAUGUGGUCGUAUGUCAAUACCCCCACCAUCUACAACACCUGGGUGCAGUAACACACCACUUGUUCUUUAUUCUGGUUGGCAACCAUCCAGCUGGAUGUCUUAUUAAAGUAGUGAAACUUAGGACGACAGCCUAUCUGUGUUUUUACAAGAGGCUGGAAAUCGGGAUUUGAUGAUGGAAGUUGCACACGAUCUGUUUGGCUAAGAACCUCAUAUUAUCCCAGAUUAGUAAAUACGUCAGUCGACAAUU
rnacentral:lncRNA from 1 species